rnacentral:rRNA from 1 species
GAUGAACGCUGGCGGCGUGCCUAAUACAUGCGAGUCGAGCGAACGGACGAGAAGCUUGCUUCUCUGAUGUUAGCGGCGGACGGGUGAGUAACACGUGGAUAACCUACCUAUAAGACUGGGAUAACUUCGGGAAACCGGAGCUAAUACCGGAUGAUAUUUUGAACCGCAUGGUUCAAAAGUGAAAGACGGUCUUGCUGUCACUUAUAGAUGGAUCCGCGCUGCAUUAGCUAGUUGGUAAGGUAACGGCUUACCAAGGCAACGAUGCAUAGCCGACCUGAGAGGGUGAUCGGCCACACUGGAACUUAGACACGGUCCAGACUCCUACGGGAGGCAGCAGUAGGGAAUCUUCCGCAAUGGGCGAAAGCCUGACGGAGCAACGCCGCGUGAGUGAUGAAGGUCUUCGGAUCGUAAAACUCUGUUAUUAGGGAAGAACAUAUGUGUAAGUAACUGUGCACAUCUUGACGGUACCUAAUCAGAAAGCCACGGCUAACUACGUG